UUCGGAUGGAAGUUGAAUUGACUGAGUGGCGGACGGGUGAGUAACGCGUGGGUAACCUGCCUUGUACCGGGGGACAACAGUUAGAAAUGACUGCUAAUACCGCAUAAGCGCACAGUAUCGCAUAAUACAGUGUGAAAAACUCCGGUGGUACAAGAUGGACCCGCGUCUGAUUAGCUAGUUGGUAAGGUAACGGCUUACCAAGGCGACGAUCAGUAGCCGACCUGAGAGGGUGACCGGCCACAUUGGGACUGAGACACGGCCCAAACUCCUACGGGAGGCAGCAGUGGGGAAUAUUGCACAAUGGGCGAAAGCCUGAUGCAGCGACGCCGCGUGAGUGAGGAAGUAUUUCGGUAUGUAAAGCUCUAUCAGCAGGGAAGAAAAUGACGGUACCUGACUAAGAAGCCCCGGCUAACUACGUGCCAGCAGCCGCGGUAAUACGUAGGGGGCAAGCGUUAUCCGGAUUUACUGGGUGUAAAGGGAGCGUAGACGGUAAAGCAAGUCUGAAGUGAAAGCCCGCGGCUCAACUGCGGGACUGCUUUGGAAACUGUUUGACUGGAGUGUCGGAGAGGUAAGUGGAAUUCCUAGUGUAGCGGUGAAAUGCGUAGAUAUUAGGAGGAAC
rnacentral:rRNA from 1 species